AAAAAUGAAUUGCAGUAAAACUUGCUUUUUGUGGUCAUUUGUAGUUCUACCAGGUGGCAGGGCUUUAAAAUGUCAUCAGCUGAGUAAAGAAAAAUAAUCAUACUAGCCAAAAAAAGAAGAAGAGAACACGCUCAAAAUGGGAAAGCAUCGCAAACCGAGUCAGCGUUCGGACAUUGCCAGCAAUUUUAACAAAGAGGACAGGGUGGUUGUUAGCGCAGCUUUGGAGGACUUGGGGCUUCAGCUGAAUGCUUUGGGCCUCUAAUUAAAACUGCAGAGGAGUGGCGAAUUGUAUGGAAAGACUGAAGACCGGCCUUCAACAAAAUUUCGCAAAAACAAGUCAGAUGUUUGUUCUUUUUAAACAGCUGAUUUCUGCCAGGU